UACGUAGGGGGCUAGCGUUGUCCGGAAUCAUUGGGCGUAAAGAGCGUGUAGGCGGCCCGGUAAGUCCGCUGUAAAAGUCAAAGGCUCAACCUUUGAAUGUCAGUGGAUACUGCCGGGCUAGAGUCCGGAAGAGGCGAGUGGAACUCCUGGUGUAGCGGUGGAAUGCGCAGAUAUCAGGAAGAACACCAACGGCGAAGGCAGCUCGCUGGGGACGGUACUGACGCUGAGACGCGAAA
rnacentral:rRNA from 1 species